rnacentral:rRNA from 1 species
AGAGUUUGAUCCUGGCUCAGGACGAACGCUGGCGGUGUGCUUCACACAUGCAAGUCGAACGAGGUAGCAAUACCUAGUGGCGGACGGGUGAGUAACGCGUGGGAAUCUGCCUUAAGAUGGGGGAUAACGGGCCGAAAGGCUCGCUAAUACCGCAUAUGCCGAAAGGUGAAAGGAGUAAUCCGUCUUAAGAUGAGCCCGCGUCCGAUUAGCUAGUUGGUAGGGUAAAGGCCUACCAAGGCGACGAUCGGUAGCUGGUCUGAGAGGAUGAUCAGCCACAAUGGGACUGAGACACGGCCCAUACUCCUACGGGAGGCAGCAGUGGGGAAUUUUGCGCAAUGGGGGAAACCCUGACGUAGCGACACCGCGUGAGCGAAGAAGCCCCUUGGGGUGUAAAGCUCUGUCAGCUGGAACGAAAAAAAAUGACGGUACCAGCAGAGGAAGCAUCGGCUAACUACGUGCCAGCAGCCGCGGUAAGACGUAGGAUGCGAGCGUUGUCCGGAUUUAUUGGGCGUAAAGAGUUCGUAGGUGGUUUGUCAAGUCUGAUGUUAAAGAUCGGGGCUCAACCCUGGGACUGCAUUGGAUACUGGCAGACUUGAGUGUGGUAGAGGCUAGUGGAAUUCCCAGUGUAGCGGUGAAAUGCGUAGAUAUUGGGAAGAACACCGGUGGCGUAGGCGACUAGCUGGGCCAUAACUGACACUGAGGAACGAAAGCCAGGGUAGCGAAUGGGAUUAGAUACCCCAGUAGUCCUGGCCGUAAACGAUGGAUACUAGGCGUAUCGGGUAUCGACCCCUGAUGUGCCGCAGCUAACGCGAUAAGUAUCCCGCCUGAGUAGUACGGCCGCAAGGUUGAAACUCAAAGGAAUUGACGGGGGCCCGCACAAGCG